AUGCAGCACAUAUAUUUGGAGCCCAAUAAAAAGCUCCUAGAUCCUACAUUCAGUGGGUACAAACUUUCCCUGGAACCUGUACCUGUACAUGAAUCUGCACUGCCAGUUGAAGUGGAGCACAUUCUUCCUAACGAUGACCAGUACUCUUUUCUUCACAUGCGGUUGUUCAGUUUGCACAAUCAUCUUUUAUUGACCAAUGGAAUAAUCAGUACGUAUAUUUCUUCAACAAACACAGGGAAGUGGUCUGCAGUGUUCUGAACAAAAUAUCCGGCAAUCUUACUGGUGUUGUCAAAGUAUAUCAAUUCCUGGAUACCAUGCCAUCUAAACCAUUGGUAAAUCCUUCGCUCAGCUUUGUUUCUGAAGAACUUGCUGUUGCAUCAGAUGGCUGCAAAAAAUUGUAUCUUCUGCACACUGGCCUCCGUGAAUCAGAUGCUCAAAGUUGGAAUGUAAGAAUGGAUCUCUCCCCUAUUCUAAUCUUAUGAUUUUAAUUCUAUUUCUGUCUUUUGAAUUCAAUGGACCACAAGACAGCAAGAAUUAGAUCUCUGUAAUGUCUUUCUGAGAGGAAGUGAGGAAGCAUGUCUGCUUUCUCACAAAAAUUUCACUCAGAAUAUGUUGAACAUUUUGAAAACUUCCAAAAUAAACUCAUGAAUGAGAAAUUAACGUCAGUAGUUUACAUUCUAAAAGAAAAUGUAAACUAUCUGCUAGCCGAAAAAUGGUAAUAAAUGUAAGUCAAAUCAGCCGUUGAAAACAAUCUGUAUGUGAGAAGGAGGUAGUCUUUCUCACCUUUUUUUCUUUCUCUGAGAUACAAGGCAUCUCUAAUCUUGUCCAUAAAAAGUCAGCACAGAUUAGGAAAAUUCAUC
rnacentral:lncRNA from 1 species